AUGGGUAAAAAUGAAAGUAGGCUAAGUGAAGGUAGGGGGCUUCAAAUGAAAACAUACCUAACACUUUAUGUCCAAGUCCAGUUGAAUCUGAAUCUGAAUAUGAAGUUGAAGCUUCAAAGAAAAGAAAAAUCAUGGAACCUAGAGCUGGUUGUUGGAAGCAUUUUGAAAGGGUAGUUGUCGAUGGAGCUCAUAGAGCAAAAUAUAUGUAUUGUGGGAAAACUUAUGCAGCUGCAACAAAAAAAAUGGUACAUAAUCAUUUGAAGAAGUGUCCUAAUCUUCCCCACCCUGUAGAUGAUAGUCAAACACACAUAAGUUUUCUGCCUUCUUCAAUUGGGGCAAAGGAAGGGGUGAUUAGCAAUUGGAUAUUUGACCAAGAAAAAAGUAGGAGAGCUUUAGCUAAAAUGGUAAUUAUUGAUGAGUUGCCAUUUAAUUUUGUUGAAAAGGAAGGUUUUAAAAGUUUUAUGGCAGUCACCGUGCCACAAUUCCAGAUUCCUUCUUGUAGGACCUUGACAAGAGAUUGUUUUGAUCUCUAUAGUGAAGAAAGACAAAAGUUGAAGAAGAUUUUCAAAGAAGCACAUCCAAAAAUUUGUCUUACGACAGAUACUUGGACAUCUAUACAAAGAAUCAACUACAUGUGUCCGGCGGCUCAUUUUAUUGAUAGAAACUGGAAAUUGCAUAAAAGAAUUAUAAAUUUUUGUCCUAUUUCUAGCCAUAAGGGUGAUGAUAUGGCGGCUGCGAUUACUAAUUGCUUGUUUGAAUGGGGUUUUGAUAGUGUAUUUACUAUUACGGUUGAUAAUGCUAGUUCCAAUGAUGUAACCGUGAAAGAAGUGUCAAAACAAUUGAAUAAUUAGGGAACUAAUAUAAUGGAGGGUAAACACUUUUAUGUGAGGUGUAUAGCUCAUAUACUUAAUCUUAUUGUGCAAUAUGGGUUGAAGGAAAGUGGUGAUUCUAUCAAGCGAGUUAGACAAGCCGUGAGAUACAUUAGGCAAUCACCUGCAAGACUAAGAAAGUUCAAAGAAUUUUGUGAAUCUCAAUUGAUAACUUGUAACAAAUCAUUAAGUUUAGAUGUUCCUACUCGAUGGAACUCUACAUACUUGAUGCUUGAUACAACACAAUAUUUUGAGCUUGCCUUUGAAAGAUAUGGUUAUCAUGAUGUUGGAUUCUUGGAUUAUCUUCGUACUUGUAUUUGUGAAGAUGGAACUCAUGCAGGUGUUCUCACAAGUUUUGAUUGGCAAAAUGUGAAGACAAUGUGCACUUUAUUGAAAUUAUAGAGCUUGAUCUUAUUUUGAAAGAGAUGAUGCAAACUGAAGAUGCUAGUUUGAAAUUAAUAUCAACAAGAAUGAAAGAAAAGUUCAAGAAGUAUUGGGGUGAACCAGAUAAAAUGAACAAAAUGAUUUUUUUUUUUUUUUUGCAUCUGUGUUGGAUGCCCAUAACAAGCUUCAAUAUGUUCCUUUUGCAAUGAAGGAUAUGUUUGGAGAAGAACCGGGAAGAAACUAAUUGGUGAAGUGAGUAAAGAUAUGCAUUCUUUGUUUGAUUAUUAUGGUAAGAAAAGAUCAAAAGGCUCUCUCCCUGCAUCAUCUUCACCUACUUCAUCUGUCAUCUCAUUGAGUACAUCUAGUGUGAGAGGUUAUGGCUACUUUCAAAGAAGAGGAACAAUGAGAAUGAAAUAAUUAUUUGAGAGGCAAAAAGAAGUUAGUGGAGGUUUAGGUAGUAAAUCGGAGUUAGAUAGAUAUCUUGGUGAAGAUAUUGAGCCAGAGUCGGACAGGUUUAAUAUAUUAGAGUGGUGGCAAGUUCAUGAACCGAGAUUUCCUAUUCUUGCGGAGAUGGCUCGUGAUGUGUUAGCCAUUCCCGUUUCAUGUGUUGCAUCAGAAAGUGCAUUCAAAGACAGGAGGUCAUAUUCUUGAUCCCUUUAGGAGUUCCUUGACUUCUAAACUAGUGCAAUCUCUUAUUUGUCUUCAAGAUUGGCUUAGAAGUGAACCUAUUCAUAAUAAUAUUGAGGAAGGUUUAGAGUAUCUUAAGAAGCUUGAACUUGAUAUGGUUAGUUCUGGAAAAAGAAUGUAGUAUUGUGGAAAUAUAGUUGCAACUAGUUUCAUGUGUGGUAAGUAGAAAACUUCUAUAUAUAACAUGUUUAAGUAUAUGUCCUUGAUUUAUUUUAUUAUCAUUGUGUUUGACUUAUAAUUAUGUUUUCUUUUGUU